rnacentral:rRNA from 1 species
GCAAUCCGCUGGAAGAUGGACUCGCGUCCGAUUAGCCAGUUGGCGGGGUAACGGGCCCACCAAAGCGACGAUCGGUAGCCGGACUGAGAGGUUGAACGGCCACAUUGGGACUGAGACACGGCCCAGACUCCUACGGGAGGCAGCAUG